UACGGAGGAUCCAAGCGUUAUCCGGAUUUAUUGGGUUUAAAGGGUGCGUAGGCGGAAUGGUAAGUCAGUGGUGAAAUCCUGUAGCUUAACUACAGAAUUGCCGUUGAUACUGCCAAUCUUGAGUACAUUUGAAGUGGGCGGAAUGUGUCAUGUAGCGGUGAAAUGCUUAGAUAUGACACAGAACACCGAUUGCGAAGGCAGCUCACUAAACUGUUACUGACGCUGAUGCACGAAAGCGUGGGGAGCAAACAGG
rnacentral:misc_RNA from 1 species